CCUGAUUGAAGAGCUCGGCUUGCUGUCAGCUCGGAGUUUGCAUUCUGCAGAGGCUGUCUUGUUUGUGGCUUGUCAGCAAUUGCUUGCGACAAGGUUCUUUGCCAUGUGUGAAAGCAACUUGGCAUGAAUGCAGGGCUGUACCAUGUCUCACACCCUGAUGGGGGUCGGGGGAGGGGGGGAAGGAAAGGAUCAGUCCAGAACAGAUAAUAGGCCACAAAGUAUUCCCCCAAAAUUGCUUUGAUAUUGCCCCAGUGUCUUAAUGUUAAGGGGGCCAGAGUUUGUGAGAAAGGGGUCUUGGUGUUAAUUUUCUCAGCUGCACUGAACCUGAAGUAAUCAUUGAAACAGAAGGGAAGGUCAUUAAUAAAGCAGCUGAAGAAGGUUGGGACUAGGACAUGACUUGAGAGAUCUGAAGCUAAGACCUGCAGCAAAGAUAUCAAUCUUUCUUUUCACCAGGUUUAUCAUUCCUACUCAACAAAAUGCUGGCAGUUUCAAAUUGAAAACGUGAAGAAUUACCUGUGAAACACGCUGGGAUGUUCCAAGGAUGUGAAAAACACGAU